UCCCUGGUGGUCCAGUGGCUAAGACAUUCUGCUUCCAAUGCAGGGAGCCCAGGUUCAAUCCCUGGUCAGGACA
rnacentral:tRNA from 1 species